GGGUAGCCAUUCCAGCUUGGUUCUGGAAGUUCCAACCCCCAUUGAGACUCUGGCAACUGUCACGCCUACGAGGCGGGGUGAUGGGAUGUGCCGGGGGACCCAGAGUGGGAUGGGUCAGCGCUCUCUCUGGGUGCUUGCUCGGUGCCGGAACACUGACCGGUGCAGAUUGACUGUGCAGAGCUCCGGAGAACACCGCUGGACUGCGUUACACCUUCCCCAGACCCUGCGACCUACCCAUUACUUAAUUUCUUAGCCCCAGACCAGCGAAAGAGGCAGGAGAGUGCUAGCUCCGAUUUCUGCCAUCUCCCUCUGACUCCAGCCAAGAUCGUCAGCAGGCCCUGUUUCGGAGCUGUACCAACGCCACCUGCUGGCUGAAAAGUGCUACUACACGAAAGG